AUGGCUCGACUAUACAACUUCCUGUACAUAGUGAGAUACAUCCCACUGAUUCUCACUGUCACUACAGGCAGUUUCGCUGAUAAAAUUUGGCCGACAGAUGAAGAUGCCAUUGUCAGGAAAGAAACAGACACUGUUACUCUGAAAUGUUCAUUUGAGUCAAGCAGUGAGGGCAUUUUGCUUUACUGGUACAAACAAUAUCCUAACAGCGCACCACAGUAUUUACUGUAUAAAGGCGUAAGGUCAAACCCCUACCAGAGCACUCCUACUGAUCGUCGAUUCGAGUCAAAAACAACCAGAGACUCCACUGAACUUACUAUCAGAGGUCUAAAGCUCUCAGAUUCUGCGCUCUAUCACUGUGCUCUAGGGAGCACAGUGAUACAGAGUCAGUGA